rnacentral:rRNA from 1 species
CAGCAGCCGCGGGAAUACGAAGGGGACUAGCGUUGUUCGGAUUUACUGGGCGUAAAGCGCACGUAGGCGGAUCGAUCAGUCAGGGGUGAAAUCCCAGAGCUCAACUCUGGAACUGCCUUUGAUACUGUCGAUCUGGAGUAUGGAAGAGGUGAGUGGAAUUCCGAGUGUAGAGGUGAAAUUCGUAGAUAUUCGGAGGAACACCAGUGGCGAAGGCGGCUCACUGGUCCAUUACUGACGCUGAGGUGCGAAAGCGUGGGGAGCAAACAGGAUUAGAUACCCCCGUAGUCCCUGUCUCUUAUAC